rnacentral:sRNA from 1 species
AUUAUAACCUGAUAAGAUAAAUAACAACAAAAUCAAUACCCACAAACAUUGUCACUACAGAGAGAAGCAUGGUUUACAAUUAUUUUUAAAGCAUAAGUAAGUGGCAUAUAAUGAUUUACAAGGAAUUUUAAAAGCUUUGAAAAUGGGUUAACAUGAUUUACAAUC